rnacentral:tRNA from 1 species
AGAGAAGUGGCAGAGUGGUCGAUUGCGUCGGUCUUGAAAACCGAAGACUGUAACAGGUCCGGGGGUUCGAAUCCCUCCUUCUCUGCAA